rnacentral:rRNA from 1 species
CCAGCAGCCGCGGUAAUACGUAGGGUGCGAGCGUUAAUCGGAAUUACUGGGCGUAAAGCGUGCGCAGGCGGUUUUGUAAGCCAGAUGUGAAAUCCCCGGGCUUAACCUGGGAAUGGCAUUUGGGACUGCAAGGCUGGAGUGCGGCAGAGGGGACUGGAAUUCCUGGUGUAGCAGUGAAAUGCGUAGAGAUGUGGAGGAACACCGAUGGCGAAGGCAGCCUCCUGGGCCAGCACUGACGCUCAUGCACGAAAGCGUGGGGAGCAAACAGGAUUAGAUACCCUGGUA